AUGGUGGUUCCCAUCCCAGUUUUCCAUAAAAACAGAGAAAAGUGGGAUCCCAAGCCAACCCCAGCACGGGACAGGCUCCUGCUGCUUCCCAGUGGGAUCCCAUCCCGCCUGGAGGGACUGGGAAUCCCUGGGAUCCAGUCCAAUCCCAUGGAAAAUCCUUUGGGAAAAGGUGUCCCGAGGCAGGUGAAUCCCAGGUUGGAUCCGGGAUGGGAUGNGGAGGGAUCCAAGAGGAGAUUCCCACUGGAUCCCAAGGAUCCAGCCCCAAAUCCCAGUCUUGGGGAGUUUCUCUCCCAGUUUUUGGUCCAUAAAGGAGGAAAACAAGGGAUAAGGAGGGAUCCAAGAGCAGAUUCCCAUCAGAUCCCAAAUCCUGUCCUGGGGAGUUUCUCUCCCAUAUUUUUGCCCCAUCAAGGGGACACCAAGGAGGAAAACAGGGAACAAGGAUGGAUCCAAGAGAUUCCCAACCCUUCCUCACCUUCCCGGUGUCCUCGAUCAGCUUCAGGCUCUUUCUCUCCUCUUCCUCCUCCUCCUCCUCCUCUUCCUGCUCCACCUCCUCUCCAAGGGCUUCCCUGGGUGGAAAACAGGGAAAACCUGGAAUAUUUUCCACCCCAAACUCUUCCCAAAGCUUGGGAACGGCCUGGAUCUGAUCCUAGCAUGGCCCACCGGGAUCUCCCUCCCCCCUCAAGAGGUUCCCAUGGGAAGCAGGAAACAGGGAACAGCAUUCCCGAGGGAAAACGGGAUCCAGGAUUCCCCCUCUGGAGCUGGGAAUGCUGCCAGGAAUGCGGGAUCAGCCCCUCAGGAAGAGGGAAGGGACACAGGGUGGGAAUUUUGGGAUGGGAGGGACAGGAGCUGGACUGGGAUGAUCCUGGUGGGAUCCUUCCCGCUCGGCAUAUUCCAGUGGGAUCAAUCCCAGGUGGUUUCUUGGGAUCGGGAAAGGAUUUGGGAAUGGGAAGGGAAGAAGGAACCUGGCGGGAUGGGAACGUGACAAAUGAGAUUCCAUGGAUUGGGAAUAGGAUCCACCUAGCUGUGCAUCAGGCUGGCGGGAAAUGGUGGUUCCCAUCCCAGUUUUCCAUAAAAACAGAGAAAAGUGGGAUCCCAAGCCAACCCCAGCACGGGACAGGCUCCUGCUGCUUCCCAGUGGGAUCCCAUCCCGCCUGGAGGGACUGGGAAUCCCUGGGAUCCAGUCCAAUCCCAUGGAAAAUCCUUUGGGAAAAGGUGUCCCGAGGCAGGUGA
rnacentral:lncRNA from 13 species